UCUACAUCACUACGAGUGGAUAAUAAUAGUAUGCAUGGGAAAUCAAAUUAAAAGAAACGUAAGAGAUUAGUAAGUUUGCCCACCGUACAACAUAUAUACACCGUAUAUACGACCGUACACACCGUAUUUUAGAACACUGAUUAAAAUUGGUUAAAACUAUUCAAAAAAAAAACCUUAAAAUAUAUGAAAACCUCGAUUAUUUUUUACUUAAAUUUAC
rnacentral:lncRNA from 1 species